rnacentral:rRNA from 1 species
CCCUUAGAUGUUCUGGGCCGCACGCGCGCUACACUGACGAAUGCAACGAGCUUAUAACCUUGGCCGAAAGGUCUGGGUAAUCUCCAAAUUUCGUCGUGAUGGGGAUAGAUUAUUGCAAUUAUUAAUCUUCGACGAGGAAUGCCUAGUAAGCGCAAGUCAUCAGCUUGCGUUGAUUACGUCCCUGCCCUUUGUACACACCGCCCGUCGCUCCUACCGAUUGAAUGGUCCGGUGAAGCGUUCGGACCGUGGCCUUUGGACGGUUCGCCGUCUGUUGGCUGCGGGAAGUUCGUUAAACCUUAUCAUUUAGAGGAAGGAGAAGUCGUNACA